UGCGUAGGCGGUGCGGUAAGUCUUCUGUGAAACCUCCGGGCUUAACUCGGAGCCUGCAGGGGAAACUGCCGUGCUGGAGUAUGGGAGAGGUGAGUGGAACUCCCGGUGUAGCGGUGAAAUGCGUAGAUAUCGGGAGGAACACCUGUGGCGAAAGCGGCUCACUGGACCAUUACUGACGCUGAAGCACGAAAGCUAGGGGAGCAAACAGGAUUAGAUACCCUGGUAGUCCUAGCCCUAAACGAUGAUCGCUUGGUGUGACAGGUACCCAAUCCUGUCGUGCCGGAGCUAACGCGUUAAGCGAUCCGCCUGGGGAGUACGGUCGCAAGGCUGAA
rnacentral:rRNA from 1 species